GACGAACGCUGGCGGCGUGCCUAAUACAUGCAAGUUGAGCGCUGAAGGUUGGUACUUGUACCAACUGGAUGAGCAGCGAACGGGUGAGUAACGCGUGGGGAAUCUGCCUUUGAGCGGGGGACAACAUUUGGAAACGAAUGCUAAUACCGCAUAAAAACUUUAAACACAAGUUUUAAGUUUGAAAGAUGCAAUUGCAUCACUCAAAGAUGAUCCCGCGUUGUAUUAGCUAGUUGGUGAGGUAAAGGCUCACCAAGGCGAUGAUACAUAGCCGACCUGAGAGGGUGAUCGGCCACAUUGGGACUGAGACACGGCCCAAACUCCUACGGGAGGCAGCAGUAGGGAAUCUUCGGCAAUGGACGAAAGUCUGACCGAGCAACGCCGCGUGAGUGAAGAAGGUUUUCGGAUCGUAAAACUCUGUUGGUAGAGAAGAACGUUGGUGAGAGCGGAAAGCUCAUCAAGUGACGGUAACUACCCAGAAAGGGACGGCUAACUACGUGC
rnacentral:rRNA from 1 species